rfam:Gossypium hirsutum cultivar TM-1 chromosome 20, whole genome shotgun sequence
AUUUCAUGAUGAGAGCACUUCCGUAGUAAUUAUUUGUACCUUUCCCAUGCCUCAUACACGGACUCAUCAUCCAUCUGUUGGAAAGUAGUGAUCUCGUUCCUUAACUU